UACGUAGGGGGCGAGCGUUGUCCGGAAUUACUGGGCGUAAAGGGCGCGUAGGCGGCCCCGUGCGCGUGCCGUGAAAGCCCGGGGCUCAACCCCGGGUCGGCGGUGCGAACGGCGGGGCUGGAGCACAUCAGAGGCAGGCGGAAUUCCGGGUGUAGCGGUGGAAUGCGUAGAGAUCCGGAAGAACACCGGUGGCGAAGGCGGCCUGCUGGGGUGUGGCUGACGCUGAGGCGCGACAGCGUGGGGAGCAAACAGG
rnacentral:rRNA from 1 species